AUUGAACGCUGGCGGCACGCUUAACACAUGCAAGUCGAGCGGUAACAUGGGUAGUAGCAAUACUAUCUGAUGACGAGCGGCGGACGGGUGAGUAACACGUAGGAACUUGCCCAGUAGAGGGGGACAACCAAGGGAAACUUUGGCUAAUACCGCAUAUACUCGAGAGAGGAAAGCUGCCAGCAAUGGUGGCGCUAUUGGAGAGGCCUGCGUCCGAUUAGCGAGUUGGUGAGGUAAUAGCUUACCAAGGCGAGGAUCGGUAACUGGUCUGAGAGGACGACCAGUCACACUGGGACUGAGAAACGGCCCAGACUCCUACGGGAGGCAGCAGUGGGGAAUCUUGGACAAUGGGGGCAACCCUGAUCCAGCGGUGCCGCGUGAGUGAAGAAGGCCUUCGGGUCGUAAAGCUCUUUAGGCUGGGAAGAAGGUUAGUAGUUUAAGAGAUAACUAGCUUGACUGUACCAGCAGAAUAAGCACCGGCAAACUCUGUGCCAGCCGCCGCGGUAA
rnacentral:rRNA from 1 species